GAAGGAAUCCCCGUUGUUGGUCUUUUAUAUUGCCUACCUUGAUGCUUUUGUCAAGUUUCCAGGUUUACCAAGAUGUUCAGCUUCGUGGAAUUCAGAUCUCUGCAGGAGAAGGCUCAGCCUAUUUCUCUUCUGCUUUGCUCUACAACAGAAUUCAGGUAAGAUACCAAGCCCUGGGGAGAAGAUGUGACCUCAUCACCUUCCUGUGACUUUUGCCACUUAAUGCAAUGCUGAUAAGCUCUGAAAUAUUCAGACUUUUGGUUCUGCAGAAAACAAGUGAAGCCCUGAUUGAGUGCUUCAGCUCAGCACUAAGAACUAGAACACAAUCAGAAGUUCUCCUUUAUUAGCCACUCCUCUGCAUCUUUCUUCAAAGUAUUUUUAUUACUUGCCUGGUAAGUAUAAGCCUUGCCUCCUUCGCAUCCAUGCUCAUGUUCUAGCACUGCCCUGAUUUCUCUACAGUCAAGCUCUACAACUGUUCUUUUUCAGUCCCUUUCUACCAGCUAUAUGGCUUCUGUGGGGUUAUAUUUGUUUUAUUUUCUGCUGAAAAUACUCAUCCCUAUGUCACAAAAAAAAAAAAAAAAUACAAGUCUCUUUAUUGUCCAGGGAAGAAUAAGCAAGGUAAAAAUUUUUACUGAAGAUCAUGGUCUGAAAAAUGUUUCCAUUUUUUUUCUUCCAUAUUUCUCUUUCCUUUUAUUGCAAUGGUAUUUGAAGUGAUGAAAAUGAAAACUGCAUGUUUUGAAUGAAUUUGGCUUUGAUAAAUAAUUCUACUGCUCUUCAGAAACAUCUCAACAGUUCACCACUCAUCAAUAUUUGUUGUUUACCCAUUAUUGGAAACCAUAAUUGGGCCUACAGUUUAA